UACGUAGGGUGCGAGCGUUAAUCGGAAUUACUGGCGUAAAGCGUGCGCAGGCGGUGAUGUAAGACCGAUGUGAAAUCCCCGGGCUUAACCUGGGAACUGCAUUGGUGACUGCAUUGCUCGAGUAUGGCAGAGGGGGGUGGAAUUCCACGUGUAGCAGUGAAAUGCGUAGAGAUGUGGAGGAACACCGAUGGCGAAGGCAGCCCCCUGGGCCAAU
rnacentral:rRNA from 1 species